ensembl:snRNA U7 U7 small nuclear RNA
GAGUGCUAUAGCUCUUUUAGAAUUUGUCCAGCAGGCUUUCCAGUUUCCCCACACUAAAAAACAAAAAACCAAA